rnacentral:lncRNA from 1 species
AGUGCCUGAGCACGCCAUCCUCCUGUACCCUACUCCAUUACGAUGUGAUUCCUUCGUGUUAAAACUGUGGGUCCAGUGUAAUCAUACGAGCCUUUAAAAGCAGAAGAGGAAGUAGGAAGAGGAAAGCAGAAUGGAUGCAGCAGAAGAGGGAGUCAGCGAGGUUCCAAGGUGUACCUUGCCCUACUAACUUUGGAUCUGGCCAAUGGAAUAUAAGGAGAUUUGACCUGUGCUGCUGUGAUUAACAGACAUCAGAGGCAUGGUACCAUGAGGACAGAGACCUCAACUGUGUGUUCAUCAUUAAGUCUCCAGAAUUCAGCAAAAUAUAUGGCACAUAGAAGGAAGAAAAACAACAGUAACUAGAUGAAGCAAGGACCACCCUUCUGGACAACAAAGGGAGAGGAAUGAAAGUCUGACCUAGGAAAAGAUGAAGAAACUGCAAAAUAAAGACUUACAAGGGUAAGUUACUAGAAACAAUCCGAUAACAUAUAACAGAACUGGAAUACAAACCUUUCCAAUGGAGUAGGAGCUCAAAGUCCUGGGUUCCAGUUUUUGUACCUAAUUAGGAAAACCAAGACUAUUUUCUCAGCUUUUCUGAACUUCUGCUUCCUCUUCUAUGAGAGGAAAGAAAGAAACCUAUACAUUUUCCUGCCAAAAUUUCUUGAGGAUCAAAUGAAAAAUGUUCAUGGAAGAGUUUUCAAAACCACAGAGCCACUAUAUGACUGGAAGGUAUUAAUAUUACUGGUAAACUGAUGUUAUUAAUUAUUCACAUGGUAUUGAUAUAUUAUCUCAAAACCAUUCUCUAAACAACACUCACUGUGAUUUUCCUUGCUGUUUUGAAACUUUUAAUUAGAAAAGGUUAAAGUGGAAAACAAAAACAAAAGCAAAAUACUAUCUGAUUCUAUUUCCCUUCAACAAAUGCAUUGUCAGGCAUGAAGAAAGAUAUGGUCUCUGCUCUCAGGGAGCUUGCAGUCUGGGCCACACCAAGACCUUGCAAAUAUACUUAAAUUAGCAAGUGUUUGUUUAUUAAACAACAGUGCACAAGACACUGGUGUCUGCACCAUAUGGUGUUGCUUUUCAACUUUAGCAGGCAUUAGAAUCACCUGGAAAGUUUGCUAAAACCUACUCCUGUGCUCCACCCCUAGAUCAUCUGAUUCAGGAGGUCUGGGGUGGGGCCUGAGAUCCUGCUUU